rnacentral:rRNA from 1 species
ACUCCUGCGGGAGGCAGCAGUGGGGAAUUUUGGACAAUGGGCGAAAGCCUGAUCCAGCAAUGCCGCGUGCAGGAUGAAGGCCUUCGGGUUGUAAACUGCUUUUGUACGGAACGAAAAAGCUCCUUCUAAUACAGGGGGCCCAUGACGGUACCGUAAGAAUAAGCACCGGCUAACUACGUGCCAGCAGCCGCGGUAAUACGUAGGGUGCGAGCGUUAAUCGGAAUUACUGGGCGUAAAGCGUGCGCAGGCGGUUAUGUAAGACAGAUGUGAAAUCCCCGGGCUCAACCUGGGAACUGCAUUUGUGACUGCAUGGCUAGAGUACGGUAGAGGGGGAUGGAAUUCCGCGUGUAGCAGUGAAAUGCGUAGAUAUGCGGAGGAACACCGAUGGCGAAGGCAAUCCCCUGGACCUGUACUGACGCUCAUGCACGAAAGCGUGGGGAGCAAACAGGAUUAGAAACCCUAGUAGUCCCAUGAU